rnacentral:ncRNA from 1 species
AAGGAUAGAGGCGCGGUUUGUAUGAAUACCGUCGGCCCGGCUGCCAUGAGCCGAUGGGCCGUGCGGGAAAGGACACACCGCCGAAGGUUCCGGCGAUCGUGGCGCGCGGGGAUCUGGUUGCUGCGGCGAAUAGCCCUGCAACUGUCAUCUGCUUUGUGAUGGAGUGCUAUCGGU